UAUGUUCGUAGGUAUUACGACUACUGGACGCUAGGCUUCAGUCGUCUUAUCUUAACGAAUAUCGUAUUCGAUGGCGUCGUCGUUUGUGGCUGGCCAACUGUCUACUGUCUUAGCUAUUUUAAGGAUUUAACUUGGCCUAAUGGCAGAAAUAAAGUAGCAUGCCAUGUCUGUAGGUUGAAUUCAACCCUUUCAAGGAAGAAAUGUGAACAAUUAGUCACUAACCAUGUUGCCUUACGCCUAUAAAAAUUAGUAGAAUCCUCUCAGGCAAGAGCUAUUGAAAACAAGAAAAAACAGCUUUGGUGCAUAGACUGUAAUUUCCAUGGUUGAUCAACCAUGGAGCAGAAGUGAUUUCAACCCGAACCAACUCCCAAAUCAAACUGGAUCGAACCUCUUGGUUCUCCACCCCUAAAUGGAUCGAACCUCUUGGUUCUCCACCCCUAAAUGGAUUGAACCUCUUGGUUCUCCACCCCUAAAUGGAUCGAACCUCUUGGUUCUCCACCCCUAAAUGGAUCGAACCUCUUGGUUCUCCCCCCCUAACCUUUACCUAACCCCUAUUCUUGUUUUAAUUGAAAAAAAACUUUUUAAUAUCUUCAAGGAGACCAAGCCGCACUUUGUGGAGUGUUUGCGUAUUCGGUUCUGAGGAGCCACUUGCUCAACAUGUCAAUUUGCAUUUCUCAACACAUAUUUCCAAUGGCCAUAGCCGCACGAUUAUUGGCAUAGAAGAAAGGGCACAGGGAAACGCACGUCUGCUGAUACUUGAUCGAAGUCACAAGAGCGAUCAGAUGCGUCUUUUGACGAACAAUUCCGGAUCGGCCCAGAAUAAUCCUGCAAUCGCCAAAAAGAUUUUGGUACCUAUGGCGGCUUUAAAGGCCAAGCAAUACCAAAUUGUUUGUGCAGACGGCGGCUUUGUUGUUGAUGAACACGAGUACUCGCAAAGUCGAGUAAUCCGGUCGACACGUAUUCCGUAACUGAUUUGGCGAAGAAGUACAUUUGACAGAAAUGUGGCGCACGCGUAAGAUUUCUGUGGUACUGCAGAAAGCAGCAACUCCAGAUUUUGAAGUAUCUACAGCAGAACCAAAACAGCCUCAUGCCGCAACAGCAACAGCUACUUUUGCAGCUUCAAAAUCAUUGCAGGAUGAUGCAACAACAACAGUUGCGACUUCAACAACAGCAGCAACAGCAAAUGAUACGAACUGGGCAGCCAUUUUAUCCUAGUCCUCAAGGACCUUUUCCUAUUGGUUCCCUACCCCAGCAGCAGCAACAGAAUUUUACGAGAGCAGCCGUUCCUCAGACGUCUUCAGUCCAACUCCCUAAACAGCAACAACAGCAGCCUUACAUGUCGUGCCCCCCCCCCCACCGCCCUCUCAUCUCCAUAACGGAUUCAUCGGGAGUGAGCGAUCAAGAGUUGCAGAGCCUAAGGUUGAAGAAUCUCGGAUCGCCCCUCCUGUGUUGCUAUACGAAGCAUCUAUGCGCCGCGCUUCCCAGUGCUCGGGAAGCGUACAUUAAGCAUCUUUCAGCGUAACAUGGUUCCUCUGGCAAAAUUGUUGGAUUCUAUCGAGUAAUGCUCCGCACUUACCCGUUUGGGAUAAAACGGUCUAUAAGACUCAACGGGUCGUCAAACUUUGCAUGAAACUACAAAAUCUGGUGGCCUUCUUUUGCGUUAUGAAUAUUCCAAAAUCUCACAAAACUACGGUGAUAAAAUAGCUUCUACGCGUGAUGUCUCCAAGAAGGCCUAGUUUUUGUGUUGAUAUCCAGGCGUCGGAUAAAAAUAGUCUUGAUCACGAGUCGUUUUCAUUACCUCUUGUACACCGUGAAGUUCUAGUUCAUUGUAAUAGCCGAAUUGGCGUUGUGCCUUACGACUUUAAGUCUUUCCUAUUGUAAUCAUUCUCCAACAUAAUGUUGACGAUGUUACUCUUGAAAUCUUCCCAAAUCAAAUCCUGGCAAAC